rnacentral:rRNA from 1 species
CAGCAGCCGCGGGAAUACGUAGGUGGCAAGCGUUGUCCGGAAUUAUUGGGCGUAAAGGGCUCGCAGGCGGUUUCUUAAGUCUGAUGUGAAAGCCCCCGGCUCAACCGGGGAGGGUCAUUGAAAACUGGGAAACUUGGGUGCAGAAGAGGAGAGUGGAAUUCCACGUGUAGCGGUGAAAUGCGUAGAGAUGUGGAGGAACACCAGUGGCGAAGGCGACUCUCUGGUCUGUAACCGACGCUGAGGAGCGAAAGCGUGGGGAGCGAACAGGAUUAGAGACCCCCGUAGUCCCUGUCUCUUAUAC